AAUAAGUCCAUUUUUCAAUUUUUGAUACAAUGUUUUGACUCUUUGUCUUAUUUAAAAUUUUUUUGUAAUUAAUAUUUUUAUUGUUAUUAGAUGAUAAAAUAUGAAUAAUACUUUAUGUGUGACUAAUUUUUUAAAAUUUUUGUACAAAUAUUUUAAAUAAGACGAAUGGUUAAACGUUCGAUACAGAAAUC
rnacentral:pre_miRNA from 1 species